GAUGAAGAACGCAGCGAAAUGCGAUACGUAAUGUGAAUUGCAGAAUUCAGUGAAUCAUCGAGUCUUUGAACGCACAUUGCGCCCCCUGGUAUUCCGGGGGGCAUGCCUGUCCGAGCGUCAUUGCUGCCCUCAAGCACGGCUUGUGUGUUGGGCCUCCGUCCUCCUCCCGGGGGACGGGCCCGAAAGGCAGCGGCGGCACCGCGUCCGGUCCUCGAGCGUAUGGGGCUUCGUCACCCGCUCUUGUAGGCCCGGCCGGCGCUUGCCGACACAUCAAUCUUUUUUCCAGGUUGACCUCGGAUCAGGUAGGGAUACCCGGUGAACUUAAGCAUAUCAAUAAGCGGAGGA
rnacentral:misc_RNA from 1 species